rnacentral:rRNA from 2 species
UGGGGAAUAUUGCACAAUGGGCGAAAGCCUGAUGCAGCAACGCCGCGUGAGGGAUGACGGCCUUCGGGUUGUAAACCUCUUUUAGUAGGGAAGAAGCGAAAGUGACGGUACCUGCAGAAAAAGCACCGGCUAACUACGUGCCAGCAGCCGCGGUAAUACGUAGGGUGCAAGCGUUGUCCGGAAUUAUUGGGCGUAAAGAGCUCGUAGGCGGUUUGUCGCGUCUGCUGUGAAAUCCCGAGGCUCAACCUCGGGCUUGCAGUGGGUACGGGCAGACUAGAGUGCGGUAGGGGAGAUUGGAAUUCCUGGUGUAGCGGUGGAAUGCGCAGAUAUCAGGAGGAACACCGAUGGCGAAGGCAGAUCUCUGGGCCGUAACUGACGCUGAGGAGCGAAAGCGUGGGGAGCGAACAGG